GACGAACGCUGGCGGCGUGCUUAACACAUGCAAGUCGAACGAUGAAGCCCAGCUUGCUGGGUGGAUUAGUGGCGAACGGGUGAGUAAUACGUGAGUAACCUGCCUUUAACUCUGGGAUAAGCCUUGGAAACGGGGUCUAAUACCGGAUACGACCAACCCUCGCAUGGGGUGUUGGUGGAAAGGGAUUUUGUACUGGUUUUAGAUGGGCUCACGGCCUAUCAGCUUGUUGGUGAGGUAACGGCUCACCAAGGCGACGACGGGUAGCCGGCCUGAGAGGGUGACCGGCCACACUGGGACUGAGACACGGCCCAGACUCCUACGGGAGGCAGCAGUGGGGAAUAUUGCACAAUGGGCGCAAGCCUGAUGCAGCGACGCCGCGUGAGGGAUGACGACCUUCGGGUUGUAAACCUCUUUCAGCAGGGGAGAAGCGAAAGUGACGGUACCUGCAGAAGAAGCGCCGGCUAACUACGUG
rnacentral:rRNA from 1 species